rnacentral:lncRNA from 1 species
GGGUGGUUUUUUCAUUCCAUCAAGUUCUCCCCACGUCGCUCUGAAACCUCUUCAAAACCCCACACACUCUCUCAGUUUCUCUCACUACGUGUUUCUCUCUCCAUUUCGCAGUGGUGACGACUAGGGGUUUCGGGAGAUUCGCGCUCUAAUUACUCUCCAUCGCCUUCAAAUCUGGUGCACUGUGUAAAAAGUGGUGAAGAAAGCAUAUAAAGGCAUAAUUAAUUUAUUCUCUAUAAUGCCACAUAUCAUAGGAGCUGAGCGAUCAAGUUACGGUGUCAAGCACCAAUGGUCAAGUGAUUCAAUCCAAAGCCGUGGUGGCUUGAGAAUCCGGAAAGUCGCAGGUGAUUGAAGAAGUGGAGGGGCCACUACUGCAGAAAAUGGAAGUCCGAAUUAAGAUCCUCUUCACUUCCCUUUGUCACACCAAUGUUUACUUCUGGGAAGCAAAGGGCAAAUUAAGAUUUAGGACAUGAGGCUGGAGGGGUUGUGGAGAGUGGUUAGGAAUAAGUGGCAAAUCUACAGCCAGGGGAGAUGAAUUUUGUUAACAUGAACACAUGUCACCUUCUCACGAUCAACACUGACUAAAGUUUGUGUCCUCAGCCGUGGGAUCUCCACAUGGUUAGGUGCUAAUUUGAACUUUGUAAAACCGAUAAAAGGCUCUUCUGUGGCCGUUUUCAGUUUGGGAGCCGUGGGACUUGCUGUUACUGAAGGUGCAAGAAUUGCUGGUGUUUCAAGAACCAUUAGAGUUGAUCUCCGUGCCAAUAGAUUACAAGAAGUCUGUGCGAACAUGUGAACCCAAAAGAAUAAAAGAAGCCGGUGGAAGAAAUUGAUGCAGAGAUGACAAAUGGAGGAGUUGACAGGAGUGUUGAAUGCACCAGUCAUAUGAUCUAUGCCUUUGAAAGUGUCAUGAUGUAUGAAUUCACCUUUAUACAUACCCUUUGCCUGUUCAUUUAUAUGUGUUUUAUAAUAUAAUAUUUUGUGGUGAUAUAAUUUUGGUGCAUGGUUGGGGUGUAGCUGUUCUUGUGGGUGUUCCA